CCUACGGGAGGCAGCAGUGAGGAAUAUUGCGCAAUGGAGGCAGCUCUGACGCAGCCAUGCCGCGUGCAGGAAGAAGGCGCUACGCGUUGUAAACUGCUUUUAACCGGGAAGAAACCCCAGGACGUGUCCUGGGUUGACGGUACCGGAGGAAUAAGCACCGGCUAACUUCGUGCCAGCAGCCGCGGUAAU
rnacentral:rRNA from 1 species